CUUCAUCAGCAGAUGGGUAAAAAGAAGGCACACUUGAAGAAGAUAAUUAAAGAAGUAGAUGAAAGCAAGGAAGUGGAAGUUGGGGGCCUUGAGCAGGUUGCAAUGAACAGGCUUGUUGAAUUGGCUUACAAAAAGCUGCUGGCCACUCGAGGAAGUUGUGCUUCAAAAUUUGGUGUUCCUAAAGUUUCAAAACAAGUUGCCCUGGCUUUUAUGAAUAGAACUCUUACUAGAUGUAGGAAAUUUGAAGAUGCUGGCC
rnacentral:misc_RNA from 1 species